ensembl:lncRNA
UGCCAGGUUAUUUAACUUUGGUAUACGGGCUAGUGAGCCAUGGCAAGCACAUUAGGGAGAGAAUCGUGUGUGACAGACCCCCUUUUUUUAAUCCUAUGUAAUUUAGAGAAGCCUCUAUGGAUGAGCUAACAGAUAUGUCAACAGAAUUUAUGUAGUAGGGGUACUCAAUCAUGUUGGUAACAGAAUACCAUACAUGUGACAUAUACGAGUGAGAAAGACAAAGCUGAAAACCUCUGUUGACUAGAACUGCCAGAUAUACCACAUCUGAAAUCUUGCUUAUGUUGGUGAGUUCACAAGAACUAAACUCGGUUCCUGCACUCCAACUUGUUAUGUAAUAGCUUGUCUUCUAUCUCUUCCAGUAUAUUGGAUCAACGGGUAGGCCAUUGGGUCAAGCUGUUGGACGCGUUCCAUUUGAACAGACUGGCGUGUAUAGUCUUUGAAAUAGGUCUCAUUGGCCAUACAAUGUAAAUGCUGUCCAGAGAAAGUGUGAGAUCACACCUCCUCAGUUGAAUUUACAGCUAUCAUUCCCGUAGAAAGGAAUCAAUUGUUCCACAAUCCAUCACCGAUUGCCACUGUGUUCCUCCACUUACUCCAAAUCUGUAUUUCCGUCGCUGAACCGGUAGAGCAGUAGUAGGUUAAUACCAAGGUGCUGAGUUCAAUGCGAAAAUCGCUUCAGAUAAACAUGUCUGCUAAAUGACUGAAUGUGAAUGUAACGCUGCCCAGAUAAGCUUUUCUAAUCCCAGUUGAUCCCUGUCUGGGCUUUUUUUGAAUACAAAGAGUGUGCAUGAGAGACUGGACUUACCCAAUUCACACCACCAGCAGCAAUGCUGUGUUCUUACUCUUUUGUGUCAAACUGUGGAAAAGGAUGAAGGGCAUAUCAGAUUUCAGCCACUGAAACUGAGACUUGGAUUGUGCCGCAUGACGGUGUGAGCUGUCCAAAGGACGUGUGCAAAUGAUGGGCACAGGCAGCAAAGCGGGAUGAGAUCGACAUCUGCACUCUGACAGGACGCAGAUGGAGGCUGGUUGGCAGGAGCAUGCGAUGAAGGAGGGAGAUAAGUGGCUGUGGCCGUGGUGGAGGAAGUACCAGUCCAGAUAUUAUUUUCAACAAUACAUACAACCUGGGUAUGAAUUGCAGUGGAUUAAAGAAAAUAGUCAUACAACGGUCUAAAUGGAGAUUUAAAGGACCAAGCACCUGCGGAUCAAAGUUGCUACUCUUCAGAGAAGGUUCUGAUGUUGUUUCAUUAUCUCGAUCUGAUGGUGAUGAAUACUGGUAUGUGCUGACACAAGGAGCCCUUCACCCAGGGAACCUCACUGAAGGGCUUCUGCUGUGCUCACUAGCCAACACAUUCAUGACGUCAAGAUGAUGGAAAAGGCAAAACUCAUGACAUGAUUCUCAAAAGUAAUGUUUAGGAGGUACAGUGGAGAGAUAUUUUUGUACACAGUGGAGGUGGACAUUUUCAAACCUCCUGAAAGUCUGUCAUGCUGUUCUUGCAGCCUGAGCUUAGCAUGCCAUCCUGACUCAGUAUAUGGCAUUCCUGUAAACAAAUGAUAGCGUUGCUUGUUUCUCAGUUGACAUGCAGGGAGAUAGAAAACAGCACUUUGUUGUCACAUAUCUAGGUAUUUUGUAACAUUCACACAGCCAGUUCCGGUCACAGGCAUGCUGAUACACUGCAUGUAGAGAUUCACUUAUCUCCUACUUCUAUGCAUAGCAUUGGACUGAGAGGAAUGGAAUGUGAGGUUGGUAAUGAAUAAAACAUGCUGAGGUAAAUCUUUCUCACGUUCAUUCUUUCUCUCUGUCUGUCUUUCAUACACACGCACGCACACAUACACACCCCCCCACACACAUACACACAGACACACACAUAGACACACACACACACACACACACACACACACACACACACACACACACACACACACACACACACACCCCCCCCC